rnacentral:rRNA from 1 species
UUUAUGGAGAGUUUGAUCCUGGCUCAGGAUGAACGCUGGCGGCGUGCCUAAUACAUGCAAGUCGAGCGAACGGACGAGAAGCUUGCUUCUCUGAUGUUAGCGGCGGACGGGUGAGUAACACGUGGAUAACCUACCUAUAAGACUGGGAUAACUUCGGGAAACCGGAGCUAAUACCGGAUAAUAUUUUGAACUGCAUGGUUCAAAAGUGAAAGACGGUCUUGCUGUCACUUAUAGAUGGAUCCGCGCUGCAUUAGCUAGUUGGUAAGGUAACGGCUUACCAAGGCAACGAUGCAUAGCCGACCUGAGAGGGUGAUCGGCCACACUGGAACUGAGACACGGUCCAGACUCCUACGGGAGGCAGCAGUAGGGAAUCUUCCGCAAUGGGCGAAAGCCUGACGGAGCAACGCCGCGUGAGCGAUGAAGGUCUUCGGAUCGUAAAACUCUGUUAUUAGGGAAGAACAUAUGUGUAAGUAACUGUGCACAUCUUGACGGUACCUAAUCAGAAAGCCACGGCUAACUACGUGCCAGCAGCCGCGGUAAUACGUAGGUGGCAAGCGUUAUCCGGAAUUAUUGGGCGUAAAGCGCGCGUAGGCGGUUUUUUAAGUCUGAUGUGAAAGCCCACGGCUCAACCGUGGAGGGUCAUUGGAAACUGGAAAACUUGAGUGCAGAAGAGGAAAGUGGAAUUCCAUGUGUAGCGGUGAAAUGCGCAGAGAUAUGGAGGAACACCAGUGGCGAAGGCGACUUUCUGGUCUGUAACUGACGCUGAUGUGCGAAAGCGUGGGGAUCAAACAGGAUUAGAUACCCUGGUAGUCCACGCCGUAAACGAUGAGUGCUAAGUGUUAGGGGGUUUCCGCCCCUUAGUGCUGCAGCUAACGCAUUAAGCACUCCGCCUGGGGAGUACGACCGCAAGGUUGAAACUCAAAGGAAUUGACGGGGACCCGCACAAGCGGUGGAGCAUGUGGUUUAAUUCGAAGCAACGCGAAGAACCUUACCAAAUCUUGACAUCCUUUGACAACUCUAGAGAUAGAGCCUUCCCCUUCGGGGGACAAAGUGACAGGUGGUGCAUGGUUGUCGUCAGCUCGUGUCGUGAGAUGUUGGGUUAAGUCCCGCAACGAGCGCAACCCUUAAGCUUAGUUGCCAUCAUUAAGUUGGGCACUCUAAGUUGACUGCCGGUGACAAACCGGAGGAAGGUGGGGAUGACGUCAAAUCAUCAUGCCCCUUAUGAUUUGGGCUACACACGUGCUACAAUGGACAAUACAAAGGGCAGCGAAACCGCGAGGUCAAGCAAAUCCCAUAAAGUUGUUCUCAGUUCGGAUUGUAGUCUGCAACUCGACUACAUGAAGCUGGAAUCGCUAGUAAUCGUAGAUCAGCAUGCUACGGUGAAUACGUUCCCGGGUCUUGUACACACCGCCCGUCACACCACGAGAGUUUGUAACACCCGAAGCCGGUGGAGUAACCUUUUAGGAGCUAGCCGUCGAAGGUGGGACAAAUGAUUGGGGUGAAGUCGUAACAAGGUAGCCGUAUCGGAAGGUGCGGCUGGAUCACCUCCUUUCU